rnacentral:rRNA from 1 species
CUACGGGGCGCUGCAGUGGGGAAUAUUGCACAAUGGGGGAAACCCUGAUGCAGCGACGCCGCGUGCGGGAAGAAGGCCUUAGGGUUGUAAACCGCUUUCAAUUGUGAAGAAGGGAUGAGAGUUAAUAGCUUUCUGACUUGACGGUAGCAUUAGAAGAAGCACCGGCUAAUUUCGUGCCAGCAGCCGCGGUAAUACGAAAGGUGCAAGCGUUGUUCGGAUUUACUGGGCGUAAAGAGAUCGUAGGUGGUUUGUUAAGUCGGAUGUGAAAUCCCGGGGCUCAACCUCGGAACUGCAUCCGAUACUGGCAGGCUAGAGUUCGGGAGGGGAAUGCGGAAUUCCGUGUGUAGCAGUGAAAUGCGUAGAUAUACGGAGGAACACCUGAGGCGAAGGCGGCAUUCUGGACCGAUACUGACACUGAGGAUCGAAAGCGUGGGUAGCAAACAGGAUUAGAUACCCCGGUAGUC